GCUCUGCAAUCUACUAACUGCUAUGAGACGACGAGGAAGUCUCCAAGGUUUCGCCAACUGGUCUGCUAUCACCAUCACGCUUGUCCGGCGCGCGUGCUUUGGGAAAGCGUGGCUGGUGUUCCGAAGCCGGCAAGCACAAACACCUUCCAACAGCAUCUGUGUGCUCCACGGCGCGGCGUUGGGAGAGGAGCCCCUGCUAGGUAACGCCGUUUCGCGUUCCCCAGUCGGCGUACCUCAACCUCGAGCUGGCUUCGCAGGAAUGCAAGGCGACACGGUUGGCAUGAUAUACCUGUGACCAAGAUUGCGACAUCUGAAAAGACUUGCCGCUCAAAACGAUGUCGGUGGGCAGCCUGUUAGCCUACGCCUUAAUUUUCAUGACCUGCACAGCAAAGGGGAAAAGUAUAGAGGUUACCGCGCAGAAUGCACCAAAUAUGCGAGGACACGAAGGUAAGGAGGUCUCGAAAGCUCUACGGAUAUUAAAUGUCAAUUAAUUGGCCCCGGCAUAUAAUGUCAUUAAAAUGGCUGUGGCGCAGUGAACUGUCUUUUUUUGUUUCACAGUGGAACAAUGCCAGUACACUGAAUUCUCUCGGAGAAGAGAAGAGUGUAACAAAAAUGUAAACUUUCUGGCUUCAAGGAAGGGCAGCGACUGCCACGUGAUGCAAAUUUACGUCGACUGCCUGACGAUGGCGCUGAGGAACACCGGCUGCACAACGAACCCUUUCUUCCUGACUUCGGAAUCAAAUCUAAUAAGACGGAAGAUGCGCGACAAAAACCUCACCUGCGACCUAUACAGUGAUCUACUGACACUCCAGGAAGCCGCCGAACGUAGCUGCUUGCGGGUUCGUGCCGUGAAACUGUUUUUCAAAUGCGGCACGGCGUUUCAUUUCCACAUAGAAGGGAAGUCAUUGACGCCCGGAACAAUAUGCGAACUCUUGAAAACGUACGUGGAGUGCGGAAACGUCGCUCUUAAGGACACAAACUGCACCAACGACGAGACUCUGCAGACGCACAUGACGUUUUUCUUGAGUCAGUCAUUGCGAAAACACUCACUGCAUUGCCCUAACAUCACCGGCGACAAGAAAAUGUCGCCGUUCUUGAAAGGUGCUCCAAGAGCGGCUUCCGAAGUUCAGCACUGGGCCAUGGCAAGCAGCGAAUACGGCAAUGCUGAGGAGCAUCACGACGAAGGUAUGUUCAUGAUUCAGCCACAGUGCGCGUCAUGUCAGAAUUCACCAAACACCAAAUCGCCGCGGUGGCAUAGUGGCUAUGGUGUUGCGUUGCUAAGUCCGAGAGCGCGGGAUCGAAUCCCGGUUGCAUUUUGAUGGGAGCGAAUUGCAAAAACGCCCAUGUACCAUGCAUUGAGUGCACGUUAAGGAACCCCAGGUGGUACAAGUUUAUCCCGAGUCCCCCACUACGGCGUGCCUCAUAAUCGUGGUUUUGGCCCGUAAAACCACAGAUUUUAUUAUUUUUCACCAAACGCAAACGCUGCAGCUUGCCGUGCAAAUUUUGAAUAUGUAUGACUCCCGUGUUAUUGGUCAUAACUUCAUCUAUUUCCGUGUACUUCUCGACAUUUAACGCAAUUUUUAGUAUGUUAAGCGCCUAGCAACUAAUGUUCCACGAUACCUGUCGUUCUUUAAUUUUUUUUUUUUUGUUAGAGCCGCAUUCGAAACAUACCAAAGGAUGUUCUAUCGAAGACGCCCUGCGUCGUUAUUUCACGUGUGGUUCAAACUUCUUGUGGAAGAUGGUGAUUUGGAAAAGACAUUUUGCGAAGCACCAGCACGUGUACAACCUAGCUGCGAACGAAACGGGACCGACAACGCCUUCUCUCAGGAUGCUGGCGAGGAAGGCGAAUGAGGAUGACGAAGUCUGCGGGGUGAUCAAAGAGCUCCAAGAAUGCACGAACGAAAUCAUAUCCCACAGCGAGUGCAAAAAUUUGGACGGGCUCUCCACAAAAAUGGUCACCAUGCAGGAAAUACUCAUCGGGGACUCUGCGAAGUCAGCCUGCAAAUUCUUGCCUAGGGAAAGGCACGCUGUUUAUCCAUCGUACAGCAAACAGAAUCUGCCUCCACCAGGCUGCUCGUACAGGAAGCUUGUCAAGCUCUUUUCGUACUGCGUGGUCAAUUUCUUCUCAAGUUUUGCCAUGUCCAAGGACACCGUGCAGGCCUGCAUGUUUCUUGGCAGACAUGGUUCCUGUGUGGAGCAGGCACGCAAGCUAACCAACUGCAGUAUGAAAGUGAAAGAGCUGGAAGAUUUUGUCUACCUCACGAACGUUGUGCAGGACAAAUAUUCCUCCCGGUGCAAGC